GGAAGUGAGGUAAGGUGUAUUGCCCUCGGGCGCGCGCUGUUGCCCCGCGGCCUUCUGGGUGGGGCCGGCGAACUCCCCGUCACGGAGUCCCGGGACCCUCGGAAUCUGGUUCCGGCUACCUCCUGAAACUUCGAAUUCACCGCCCAUAUUCUUCCCCUACGUCGGGCUCCGACUUUCGGCACCAAAGGCUCUUAACUUCAUGACGAAACGUAUACCUGCUUAGCCCUCCAGCUCUAACCCCAGCGCUUUUCUACCCGUUCCUGACCCUGGCACCUGUCCUGUGGGCUAUGCAGGCCGGGAGGAGGUCUUCACCUUAGGAGGCAGUGCCCUUCUUUUAACCAAGAGGCGGUCUGAUGUGUGAUCAAACACGUGGACCCUUGUGUCAGACUGCCUAGGUUCAAAUCCCAGCUUCACCCCUUACCAGCUGUGCAAUGUCAGAUGGAGAAACUGAGACAUAAAGUGGCCAAAUGGCUUUCCCAAGGCCUUACCACUGCAUGGAUUGGGGCUGGGCCCCACAGCCUCUGUGUGGACAUCUUUCAGACCUGCUCCAAAACAUGGUGUUGUGGGUGAUUUUUGUUUUCUUCCUUUUGUUUACCUGUAUUUGUGUGAUCAGUCACUUUAACCAAAGAGCACGCAAGCAUCCAUUGUCACAUGAGAACCAUGUCUGUUAGUUGCACGGAUGUCAACAUGGGCGACUGCGACAGGAAGUGACUAGUUCAGCGUGGGUUUCUGAAUGUUUACUCUUGAAAUUAGGCAUAGACUUUCUCUAAAAUGUAACAUGUUUGCUUAAAAUGUACUCUAUAUCAUGAAAUUAAUGGAGUACUUUAAGGUGUUUAUAAAGAUAACAUUUUCAUUUUUUUAAAUUUUAUUUUGAAGUAAUUUCAAACUUAUAUGUACACUUUAUCCACGUUAACCAGAUAACAUUUUGCCAAAUUCAUUUUUACCAUUCUCUAUUUCUCUCUAAUGUUUUCUUCUGAAAUAGUUUUAAGUUGCAUUAUCAUGUCCCUUUAUUCCUUAAUACUUCCGUGUGAAUUUUUACAGAGUAAGGACAUUUUCUUACCUCACAGUGAUAUAAUACUAUUCACGUAUUCCAAUUUUGACAAUUAUCUCAAUGUCUUUUACAGCAUUUUUUUCAGCUUCCAAUAUCCAGUGCAGGAUUAUGCACGGCGUUAAUUGUCAUCUCUUUAGGCUCCUCAAGUCUGAAGUUCUUCCUUCCCUGCCUUGUUUUCUCUUUCCUUUUCUUUUUUUGGUCUUCCUUGACACUCAUUUUGAAGGGCACACACCAGCUAUUUGGUAAAAUGUCUUUCUAUAUGAUUUUGUUUCCCCACCGUAGGAGUUAUAGAGGUUAUGUAUUUGGGGCAAGAAUAUUAUAUGAGCAAUGCUGUGUCAUCUCAAUGCACCAUUCAGGAAGCAUACAAUGGUGAUGUUAAUGUUGAUCUCUUGGUGAAGAUAGUCACUGCCAGGUCUCGCUGCUGUGACAUUCUUGUUUUUCCUUUUGAAAUUGAUAAUCAGUUUGUGGGGAGAUACAAUGCCUUUCUGACCAUGUAUUUACUUGAUAAAAACGUUUAUGCAUUUUUGAAUGUUUAUUAAAAGGCUUAAAUAUUUAAGAAAUAUUUAAAAAACUGAAAAAAUCUGUAUGAUAACUCUAAAAACCUUUGGAAGAAAAUGAUAAUGAAACACAAGAAGAAAAAAUAAACAGACCAGACUAUGGAAAGAAAAACCCAUAAUGAUGAAGAAGAGAACAUCGAGGAGAGAGAAGAGUGGUAGUCAGAAAACUGAGAGGAAAUGGGAGAACAAAUAGGGGACAUCUGUGAUCCCUGUCAAGGACUUUGAUCCUGUCCUCAGACCUCUCAUUGUCUUGGUUCAGCUGUACCUCUCAUGGUUAUUAAAAGCUCAAAUAAAUAUUUGUGAAAUAAAUGAACAACUCAA